UGAGAGGACAUAUAGCAAAUCACAUCUUAAAUAAUGUCUAAGGGAUAGUUGAUUAGUUGACUAGUAGAUAUCCUUGCUUUGAACAUGGAAACAUUAAUGAUUCAUCUGAAAGAAAAAAACUAAUUUAGUCUAUUAGGCUCAUGGUCAUCUAGAAUUAUAUAUAUAUAUAUAUAUAUAUAUAUAUAUAUUAUGAUAAAGAAAUCACCUAUUAUUGAUUAAAUUGUGCAUGUGAAUUUUAGAUUUUUUAAAUUGAAUACAUGUCCAACGUGUUUAGUUUAAUAUAAGAUGCUUUUAGCUGAUCUUAAAGAUUUAGUUCGAGAUUUAUUUUGAUUAAUAAUAGUAUUUUUCUAAUCCAAACUGAAAACGUUCGUUUUGGUUUAUGCUGUAAACUAAUUGGUGAGAACCGUUUAUUUCAAAAUUUCAGAUUUAGGGAGAUAAUUUGGAACGUGUUUGUUUUGCUAUUUUG
rnacentral:lncRNA from 1 species